rnacentral:misc_RNA from 1 species
UGAAGCCUGAUCUGAGUAGUAGGAGUGGAACUGAGGCUUCAAAGGUAUCACCAACUGCCUCUGCCAAUACCCAUGGAUCGGGUCUGCUAAUGAGAGAUAAUCAUACUGUGCAAGAAACAGAUCAAGAGGAUGAUAAUAUUUCAGCAUCCACGGAUAGGUUAUCAUCUCCAAGGCAUACAAUGCUGGAGAAAUGGAUUCUGGAUCAACGGAAAAGGAAGCUUAUUAGUGAACAGAAAUGGUCGAAAAAACAGCAAAAA